AAAAAACUAAAGUGUAUGAUUCCAAAUUACAUAAUUAAUAUAAUGAAACAAUAAUAUUCUGAAGUCUCAUUUAUAUAUAUAAAUUUUACAAAAGAACUAAAUUGUAACAGUUGGUUAAUAUUUUAUUUUCAUUUUUAAUAUUUUUUGAGUUGUCCUAUGAUUUAUAUUUAUAAAAUAAAUUACUAUUCUUAUAAAAUUUUAUAAUCUUAUCAUAGUUAAAUCUAUGAUUUUAGAUAUAAGUUGGAUUAGUCGAAUCAUUCAUGUUGUGAGUAAUUAUUGAGUUACAUAUAUUCUUUCAAAUUAAAAAUUAAACAUAAUUAUUUUUUUAUUAUAAUUAAUUCAAAUGUGCAUGUAUUUUCAUAACAUUUAUCAAAUUAUAUGUUCAUGUUUUUUUAUAAAAAUAUUAGAAAAUAAAGGAUGAUCAAUAUGAAGUUACAUGCGUAAGUAGCUGAUACAUUUUUGAAAGCUCAUGUACACAUAUCAAUAUUUACAAUAAUUAAAAUAUUUUAAAAAUUCUAAAUAACUUUAUGCCUUUGAUUUAUUGAAUGGAAACUAAAAUUUAUUUGAAUAAUCUUAAAAAUGAGAAUUCAGAUUUGCUUUGGUAUUUUGAUUAUGGUUCUAUAAAGUUCCAUAAAUACAAAAACAUAAAAUUUAAAAUCAUAUUUAAUAUUAAGAAAAAUAACUUUAAUAAUGAUAAAAUAUAAUAUAUCUACCUCAUUAAACUAUUUUGUAACUAUUUGAUCAAACGAUGUUUAUUUUAGAAUUUUCUUUUUAGUUUUUUUUUAAUAUCUCUUAAAAAUAAGCAUUAAAAAAUUGUGAUUGUAUUUAAACUAAUAUUAAAUUAGUUAUAUGCGUAAGUAGCUGAUACAUUAAUUAUUUUUUAAGUAGAAGAAUUGAUCAAACAUUAUUAUUCUUUAUAUAAUUUCAACAAUAAGUUACCAUAAAUAAUUUUUUGUAAUAUAAUUUUAUUAUUUGCAAGUGAUAUUAAAUGGUUUAUUGACCAUGACUUAAACAAGUGAGUGCAGAAUGGAUAUCCUAAAAUAUUGCAUUUUUUUGUAAACCAUAUAAUUUCCAGUUUUUCAGUCAGUAACUUUCGAAAAAACUUAUAUAUUCGAUUUAAAAAUUAAGAAAAUCAAUUAUUUUACCUCUAAGACCUUACUUUGGCAUUUAAUUAAAUCGUAAAAUGAAAUAUUCUUAGAUAUUGAUUUGUUUUCUUAGUUUUAUAAAUUUUGAUUCUGCUGUUAUGCUUUAAGUCAUGGGUCAAUGUUUUAUUUCCAUAUUGUAUUAUGAUUAUCACCACUGAGAAAUUAAUAACAUGAUCAUUUAUGCGCUAAUUUCUUAAUUAAUAGUAGAAUAUAUGCGCAUUAUUUCCCUCUAUUUAAACUCUAAGGAGUAGUUGAUAAAAAUACAAACUUCCAAAGAGUAGUUGAUUCAGAAACUAAAAGUAAGGAACUAUAAGCAUUCUUGUGAUGGGAAUGGUUGGUUACACCGUAGCUCUGGUGGUGAUAACAGUGAUUGCCUCUCCUUGUGUUUAUGGAAAACAGUUAUCUGAUCAACAAGAAAUCAAAGUACAAAGACUUUUGAAGCGGCUCAAUAAGCCUGCUCUUAAAUCCAUUAAGAGUGAAGAUGGAGAUAUAAUAGACUGUGUUCCAAUAACUAAGCAACCAGCUUUUGACCACCCUCUACUUAAAAACCAUACGAUCCAGGUUUGUCUUCGUUUAUGAUCUCUUUUUUUUUAGUUACAUGCAUGAUUAUGUUGUAACAGAAUGUUUUCGUACGUAGAUGAGACCGAGUUUUGUUCCUGAAGGUGGUUCUACGUUCACCAAGAAAGAGGCAAAGGCUAUAACACAGGUGUGGCACAAGAAUGGAGUGUGCCCAAAUAACACUGUUCCUAUAAGAAGAACAAAGAAGGAAGAUAUCUUACGAGCAAAAUCCAUUGAGAGUUUCGGGAAAAAGAGACAUAAGAGUUUCGGGAAAGGGACUCAUCAGAGCAACCCUGGAGAAGGCCAUGAGGUACACCUUUUAUGCAUUGUCCUUGUGUUACUUAUUUACUGGUGGCCAUGUGCAGCUAGAUAAAUAUUUUUCAAUGAGAACAAAAGAAUAUUAGAUAUCUAAAUUUAUGUUAGUACUUUUUGUGCAACAUGUGAUUCUUAUCAUCAGAAAACACAAAUAACUUAUAAACCUUAAACACAAACAACAUCUAGUUGUACAUACUUUGACGAAAUGAAAUGCGUGUUUCUUUACUAUCAUUUUAUUACAUCAUCUUAUCUCAUUAGUCAUAUCUCUUAAUCAGAAAUCUCCAAAUUAUGUGUCAAAUAAUAUUGUUAUAUUAGUUUUUAUAUAACAUAUAUAUAUGCCAUAUAAAAUUAUACUAAGUUACUAUAAAUCAUGUAACAUGAUCUAUAACUAUGUAUAUUGGGAAAUUGUCACAAAUACUACAUUCAUAGUACCACAUUUCAUGUGUACACUAACUAAUUUUACCUUUACUUUUAAAAAAGUGUAAAAAACAUUUAGAUUUAGAGUUGAGGGAUGAGGUAGGCUAUUUGGAAUGUGAAAUUUAGGAUUCUAAUAAAUAUAUAAAUAAAUACUUUAAAAAAAUUAAAAAUAGUUGCAAACAUAAUUUUGAUUUUUAAAAUGAAAUUUUGAAAAAAAAAAUUAUAAAAAAGUUUGAAUUUGAAAAAAUAUAAUUCGAAAACAUAAAAAAUUAUUUAUUAUUUAUUAUA